rnacentral:rRNA from 1 species
UACCCUAUUAUUUAAAUUGUAAAUUAAUAAUUUAAUUAUUAAUAGUUAUGUUCUUAAAAAUUAAAAAAUUUGGCGGUAUUUUAGUCUUUUCAGAGGAACCUGUUUUAUAAAUGAUAUUCCACGAGUUAAUUAACUUUAAUUAUAAAUUUGUAUAUCGUCGUAGAUUGAUUAUUUUUAAAGAAUUUAUAAUAUUCAAAAUAUAUUUUAUAAAGAAUGUCAGAUCAAGGUAUAGUGUAUAUUAAAGUAAAAAUGGGUUACAAUUUUAUUUUAAAAAGGGAUAAUAAAUUGAAAAUUUAAUUAAAUAUGGAUUUGAAAGUAAUUUAAAAUAAAUAUUUUGAAUGAUAAAAGUUCCAAAAUAUGUACAUAUC